GAAAUAUUUUAAAUAAGAACUUCUAAUUCUUAAAAAAAUUAUUAAUUUAUAUUUCU
rnacentral:tRNA from 1 species